rnacentral:rRNA from 1 species
AAUGAACGCUAGCUACAGGCUUAACACAUGCAAGUCGAGGGGUAACGAGAGGGAAGCUUGCUUUCCUUGUCGACGACCGGCGCACGGGUGAGUAACGCGUAUCCAACCUGCCCCCAACUAGGGAAUAACCUUGCGAAAGUAAGACUAAUACCCUAUAAUUUCCUCAGAUGUCAUCUGACGAGGAAUAAAGAUUUAUCGGUUGUGGAUGGGGAUGCGUCUGAUUAGCUUGUUGGCGGGGUAACGGCCCACCAAGGCAACGAUCAGUAGGGGUUCUGAGAGGAAGGUCCCCCACAUUGGAACUGAGACACGGUCCAAACUCCUACGGGAGGCAGCAGUGAGGAAUAUUGGUCAAUGGGCGGAAGCCUGAACCAGCCAAGUAGCGUGCAGGAUGACGGCCCUAUGGGUUGUAAACUGCUUUUAUACAGGAAUAAAGUUAGCCACGUGUGGUUAUUUGUAGGUACUGUAUGAAUAAGGGCCGGCUAAUUCCGUGCCAGCCGCCGCCGUAA